CACGUAGGGGACGAGCGUUGUCCGGAUUCAUUGGGCGUAAAGCGCGCGUAGGCGGCUCGGAAAGUCGGUCGUGAAAUGCCGGGGCUCAACCCCGGGACUGCGUCCGAUACUCCCGAGCUGGAGGCAGGUAGGGGAGAUCGGAAUUCCUGGUGUAGCGGUGAAAUGCGCAGAUAUCAGGAGGAACACCAAAGGUGAAAACAGACUGCUGGGAGUGUGCUGACGCUGAGACACGAAAGCCAGGGGGAGCGAACGGG
rnacentral:rRNA from 1 species